rnacentral:tRNA from 1 species
GAAGGGCUAGCUCAGUGGUAGAGCACAUGCUUAGCAUGCAAGAGGUCCUGGGUUCAAUCCCCAGCACCUUCA